AACAAAUGCGUCCUCCUUUUCCCCAGAUUUGAAGGAUGGGUCGGGUGUAUCUUUUGUGGCCCACCAUAUCCCAGGAUUCAUUGCCGGUCAUACUGGAGAAUUUUUCUCAUAACAAUUGCGGAUGAAGCAGGAGUUAAUGCGGGAGAUGAAUACACUUUUAAAUGGAACAAAGACCAAACGGUUCAGUUUAUUAAAAUGAGAGGAGAAAAUGAACACCUCUUCACUGGAUUGAAGAAUUCAGCCACUGUGGCAUGGAGGAGAGCUCUGGAGAAGAUCGGCCUGCAGAGGACCCUUGGAGGUCAAAAAGAAAUGGGAUA